rnacentral:rRNA from 1 species
UAUGUGAUCGUCUCUCGCAUAUCAAUAAGCGGAGGAAAAGAAACUAACAAGGAUUCCCCUAGUAACGGCGAGUGAAGCGGGAAGAGCUCAAAUUUGAAAUCUUAAAGGGUUUCCCUUUACGAAUUGUAGUUUAAAGAAGUGUUUUCUGUUGAGGUUUUGGUAAAAGUUCUUUGGAAUAGGACAUCAUAGAGGGUGAGAAUCCCGUAUUUGACCUUUACUUUCAACUUUGUGAUACACUUUCAAAGAGUCGGAUUGUUUGGGAAUGCAGUCCAAAAUGGGUGGUAAAUUUCAUCUAAAGCUAAAUAUUGGCGAGAGACCGAUAGCGAACAAGUACCGUGAGGGAAAGAUGAAAAGAACUUUGAAAAGAGAGUUAAACAGUACGUGAAAUUGUCAAAAGGGAAGCGUUUGACACCAGUGUUGUUUUUCUGAAAAUCAAUUAAAGAACUGUUUAUGCUAAGUUGUUUAGACUUUAUCAGCUAACUGUUUAGUUUUGAGCUUUUCUUUAAUGCACUUUUCAGUUAACAAGUCAACAUCAAUUUCUUUUGCUGUAAAAAAGCUUGAGGAAGGUGGCUUGAGAUUCGUCUUAAGUGUUUAUAGCCUCUUGCCUAUGCAGUCGGAGAGAUUGAGGUCUGCAGCGUAGAUCCUUCGGGGCUAAAUGCAUUUGUGCUAAGUUAUAGCAUUUCAUAGACAACUUGUUGACUAUGAUUUGUCUUGUAGCUUACUCGCUUAUGUUAUUUUACCUACGCUUAGGAUGUUGAUAUGCAUGACUGAUAU